CGGCCGCUUCCUGCAGACUCGUGUUUGCAGCGUAUCUGUAGACGGGGAGGCUGCAGUCCUCCCGGAAGUCCUGUCUUGGAGGGUGCAGGAGAGCCUCGAGUUUCCACCAGCAAGUUUGAGGGACACUGAGAGGCUCCCUCCCUUCCUCCGGACCGAGCUGUUGCCCCCAUGUCUCUGGCAGGUUCUGGGGCCGGCUGGAGCGUUAUCUGCCCACACAUAGCAUCUGCUCCUUGCCUUUCGUCACGUCCUUCUGCCUGGGCAUGGGUGCACGGAGGGUCUGCUAUGGCCAGGAAGAGGCGGUGGGGCCCUGGUACCACCUGAGCGCCCAGGAGAUCCAGCCCUUGUUUGGAGAACACAGGCUGGGAGGGGAUGGCCGGGGCUGGGUGAGGACGCACUGCUGCCUGGAGGAUGCCUGGCAUGGAGGCAGCUCCCUGCUCGUCCGGGGUGUGAUCCCACCGGAGGUUGGAAAUGUGGCUGUGAG
rnacentral:sRNA from 1 species